rnacentral:rRNA from 1 species
AACGAACGCUGGCGGCAGGCUUAACACAUGCAAGUCGAGCGCCCGCAAGGGAGCGGCAGACGGGUGAGUAACGCGUGGGAAUCUACCCAGUUCUACGGAGUAACCCAGGGAAACUUGGACUAAUACCGUAUACGCCCUACGGGGGAAAGAUUUAUCGGAAUUGGAUGAGCCCGCGUUGGAUUAGCUAGUUGGUGAGGUAAUGGCUCACCAAGGCGACGAUCCAUAGCUGGUCUGAGAGGAUGAUCAGCCACACUGGGACUGAGACACGGCCCAGACUCCUACGGGAGGCAGCAGUGGGGAAUUUUUCACAAUGGGCGCAAGCCUGAUGGAGCAACGCCGCGUGCAGGAGUAAGGCCUUCGGGUUGUAAACUGCUUUUAUUGGUGACGAUUAUGACAGUAGCCAAUGAAUAAGGAUCUGCUAACUACGUGCCAGCAGCCGCCGUAA